rnacentral:rRNA from 1 species
GAAAACGAGAUGCUACGGCGUCGAAGCAGUCUAUGUCAUACUUCCAAGAAAAGCUUGCACUGUCAUAAACAAAUAAUGCCUGUACCAUAACCGACACAGGUGGGUAGGUAGAGUAUACUAAGGGGCGCGAGAUAACUCUCUCUAAGGAACUCGGCAAAAUGACUCCGUAACUUCGGGAGAAGGAGUGCCUUAUUUAUAAGGUUGCAAUAACAAGGUCCAAGCAACUGUUUACCAAAAACACAGGUCUCCGCUAAGUCGUAAGACGAUGUAUGGGGGCUGACGCCUGCCCAGUGCCAGAAGGUUAAAGAAGUUGGUUAGCAUCCGCGAAGCUGAUAACUGAAGCCCUGGUGAACGGCGGCCGUAACAAUAACGGUCCUAAGGUAGCGAAAUUCCUUGUCGGGUAAGUUCCGACCCGCACGAAAGGCGUAAUGAUUUGGAUACUGUCUCGGAGAGGGGCUCGGUGAAAUAGACUUGUCUGUGAAGAUGCGGACUACCUGCACCAGGACAGAAAGACCCUAUGAAGCUUUACUGUAACCUGAAAUUGAAAUUGGACUUUACUUGCGCAGUAUAGGUGGGAGGCGUUGAGAAUAUUCUUGCGGGAUUAUUGGAGCCAUCAGUGAGAUACCACUCUUGUAAUGUUAGAUUUCUAACUUUGUAUCAUUAUCUGGUCAAAGAACAGUUUCAGGCGGGCAGUUUGACUGGGGCGGUCGCCUCCUAAACGGUAACGGAGGCGCACAAAGGUUUCCUCUGAACGGGUAGAAAUCGUAUCUAGAGUGUAAAGGCAUAAGGAAGCUUGACUGUGAGACCUACAAGUCGAGCAGGGACGAAAGUCGGUCUUAGUGAUCUGACGGUGCUGAGUGGAAAGGCCGUCACUCAACGGAUAAAAGUUACUCUAAGGAUAACAGGCUGAUCUCCCCCAAGAGUUCACAUCGACGGGGAGGUUUGGCACCUCGAUGUCGGCUCAUCGCAUCCUGGGGCGGUAGUACGUCCAAAGGGUUGGGCUGUUCGCCCAUGAAAGCGGUACGCGAGCUGGGUUCAGAACGUCGUGAGACAGUUCGGUCCAUAUCCGGUGUAGGCGUUAGAAUAUUGAGAGGAGCCUUCUUUAGUACGAGAGGACCGAGAAGGACAUACCUCUGGUGUACCAGUUAUCGUGCCAACGGUAAACGCUGGGUAGCUAUGUGUGGAGUGGAUAACCGCUGAAAGCAUCUAAGUGGGAAGCCCACCUCAAGAUAAGUAUUCUCA